rnacentral:rRNA from 1 species
AGAGUUUGAUCCUGGCUCAGAUUGAACGCUGGCGGCAGGCUUAACACAUGCAAUUCGAGCGGGGAAGGGUAGCUUGCUACCUGACCUAGCGGCGGACGGGUGAGUAAUGCUUAGGAAUCUGCCUAUUAGUGGGGGACAACAUUCCGAAAGGAAUGCCAAUACCGCAUACGCCCUACGGGGGAAAGCAGGGGAUCUUCGGACCUUGCGCUAAUAGAUGAGCCUAAGUCAGAUUAGCUAGUUGGUGGGGUAAAGGCCUACC